rnacentral:rRNA from 1 species
AACGAACGCUGGCGGCAGGCCUAACACAUGCAAGUCGAGCGCUGUAGCAAUACAGAGCGGCGCACGGGUGAGUAACACGUGGGAACGUGCCCUUUGGUUCGGAAUAACCCAGGGAAACUUGGGCUAAUACCGGAUGAGCCCUAACGGGGAAAGAUUUAUCGCCGAAGGAGCGGCCCGCGUCGGAUUAGCUAGUUGGUGGGGUAAAAGCCUACCAAGGCAACGAUCCGUAGCUGGUUUGAGAGAACGACCAACCACACUGGGACUGAGACACGGCCCAGACUCCUACGGGAGGCAGCAGUGGGGAAUCUUGGACAAUGGGGGAAACCCUGAUCCAGCCAUGCCGCGUGAGUGAUGAAGGCCCUAGGGUUGUAAAACUCUUUUCGGCGGGGACGAUAAUGACGGUACCCGCAGAAGAAGCUCCGGCUAACUUCGUGCCAGCAGCCGCGGUAAUACGAAGGGGCUAGCGUUGUUCGGAAUUACUGGGCGUAAAGCGCGCGCAGGCGGUUCUUCAAGUCAGAGGUGAAAGCCCG